CCUUUUCUUUAAUAAAAUCUGUCAUUUUUUCAGCCGUAAAGCAGCAAUUAUGCUUUUUAAAUGAUCGUAAGAUGCAUGCAUCUGUUAGUUACAACGUAAAAAAUUGUUAAAUUGAAAAAUGCAAUGUUUUUUUUUCAAUCAAUCUCCAUAGGAAACCAAUUAUAAAUAUUUGACCAUAUAUGUCUCAUUAAUUUAAAAUAUCAAGCUUGCAUUGCUAUUUUCAUUCACCAUAAAUAGCGUUUAAUUUCAUUGCAGUAUUAAUCAGCAAAGCUUUUAAAAAUUAUAUGGUUUAUUUGUGUCCUUACAAUGUUUUCUCAAUGAAGAAAUAUUUAACUUGUUUAUUAUUAUUUAGAUGAGUUUUUUUCAUAAAUUAAAUGAUUUGUAUUGAGUAAGAUUUGUUUUUUACCAUUCAAGAAUGAAAUUCUUUAAGACACCAAAUUAUUUAUUUGAUUUUAUGUCUCCAUAACUUAGUUUAAAGAGACCCAGAGUCAAAAUUUAAAAAGGUUAAAAACGAAAUUUUAAGAAUUCAUGAAAAAAAAUAUUGCUGUUUUGUCUUUAACACCUUAUUAAUUCACUAAUUUAGAUUCUCUAAACAUUUUUUUUUUCUAUUUUAAAUUUGAAAUUUGAUUGCUCUUUUUAGCCAAUUACGUAUUUUACCAAAUAAGGACGGUUGUUUUUGCAUUAAGCCACAGAUAAAAUGUUCCUUAUUAGCAUAUACACACAGAGAUCUUAAUUUCUGAUAUCUUUUGACGAUGAUCUUUAAGAAUUCUUAGAACUCUAUUAACUCUCUCAAUGAAAACAUGUUGACACAUUAUUAUUGGCUACCAUCACAGAUCUUAUUUAUUUUAACAUUUAUUUUUAUUAAAAACAUUGAUUUUAUUGUUUAUUGAUGUUAACUCUUACAUGGAUGAUGUGAUAUAUGUGUUAUUGUAUAACACUUCCUUCAAAUUCUCACUCAAAGCACAUAUUCCUUGUCUCUUUAAUUAAAUUACUGUCAUUAUUUUUUGUAAAACAACUAUUAAGUAAAAGAUAUUUUUCUUAAAAUGAAAUCACAUUUUGUAGAGACUGUAUUAUAAAACUGUAAAUUCUGCUGUUGCUCCUGUAAUGAUAAUUUUGUAUUUGUAACAUGAAUUUUACGAUGUAAAAAAAUUUGCUUGUAAUAAAAUCUUGUUUUCUCAUUAA